UGUGAAUUGAGUGGCUUUGACCUCCAGGUUCUGACUCACCUCCGCGUGAUCGAGGAGAGGAUGAACCAGUCUCUGGGUCUGCUCUUCAAAGUGCCCCGAGUGGCUAAUGAGAUCCAGAACCAAGUUGCUGUUAUUGUGCAGAGAGUUCAGGCGGAGCUGUCUCAGCAGGUGUCUUCUCUGCAGAGCGACAGGCGGGUGGACGGCAGAAUCAGUUACGGUAACGACGCCCUGA